rnacentral:rRNA from 1 species
UACGUAGGUGGCAAGCGUUGUCCGGAUUUAUUGGGUUUAAAGGGUGCGUAGGCGGCUUUGUAAGUCAGUGGUGAAAUAUGGCAGCUCAACUGUCAGGGUGCCAUUGAUACUGCAGAGCUUGAGUACAGAUGAGGUAGGCGGAAUUGACGGUGUAGCGGUGAAAUGCUUAGAUAUCGUCAAGAACACCGAUAACGAAGGCAGCUUACUGGGCUGUAACUGACGCUGAGGCACGAAAGUGUGGGGAUCAAACAGG